GUGUUGCGGCCACGCCCCCGUGGGCACCGCCCCUCUGAGCCACGUGAGCAGGAACCAGUUGUGGCGUCCUAGCCACGCUCGUUCAAUCCACCGUAACCGAUAGAAUGAGUAUAUUGGCUGCUGCCACUCCCUCCAGCCGCUCUUCUCCCGGUGUGACAAACGGCACGUCGCCGGCAAGGUUUCCUGCCCCGCUCCCCGGGUCCACGUGACUCAGCCCGCCAUGCUGGAGGCAGAAGCGCGCUCGUCUGCAUUCUUCUUUAGCCUGGUGGAUCAGGAUUCCCAGUGGCUUUACUAGGAGCUUGGCGUGACCUGGAUGGCACCCGCACACCUCCCUGCAGAAGGGAAGGCUUUGGGAAAGGACCGCUGGCACGAGGGUCUCGCCGCCGCCAGCGGGGCACUUUGCACGAUGUAAACAACAAAACGAUGUGAAAUAGCAUGUAAGUCCUCAGGGACCUAGAAAGUAAUGGCAUACUUCAAGCAGACUAGAAAGACCACACCACAAACCUUUGCUCAAACAUGGGCACCAGACUUCUCCAGGAUCUAAGUUUUACUGACCACAGAGACAUUACAGGUGCUAAUGCCAACCCAAAAUGAUUAUCAUGUGCAAGGAGAAGACAGUUCGGCUGAAUACAAGACACUGUAAAUUCGAGCUGCCCGAAGGUGGAAAAGACUCCUAGGACUGGUAAUGAAGACCCCAUUUCUGGAAGGGCUCAAGUAGAAGCAAAAUGACUGGUUAGCAGAAGCAUUCAAGAAUUAAAAAUGGGAUGACUUUCCAAAAUCUCCACAGUAAAUAUACCUUAUUUUUGUAAUCAGGGAAAAAACAUGGCCUAAAAAUAAGAAUCUUACAGAGAAUUAGAUCAUAUCAUCUUUUAAAUCCCUUUCAACUCUAUAAAUCCUUGUAAUCACUUA